rnacentral:rRNA from 1 species
GAUGAACGCUGGCGGCGUGCCUAAUACAUGCAAGUCGAGCGAACAGACGAGGAGCUUGCUCCUCUGACGUUAGCGGCGGACGGGUGAGUAACACGUGGAUAACCUACCUAUAAGACUGGGAUAACUUCGGGAAACCGGAGCUAAUACCGGAUAAUAUAUUGAACCGCAUGGUUCAAUAGUGAAAGACGGUUUUGCUGUCACUUAUAGAUGGAUCCGCGCCGCAUUAGCUAGUUGGUAAGGUAACGGCUUACCAAGGCAACGAUGCGUAGCCGACCUGAGAGGGUGAACGGCCACAAUGGAACUGAGACACGGUCCAGACUCCUACGGGAGGAAGCAGUAGGGAAUCUUACGCAAUGGACGAAAGCCUGACGGAGAAACGCCGCGUGAGUGAUGAAGGUCUUCGGAUCGUAAAACUCUGUUAGUAGGGAAGAACAAAUGUGUAAGUAACUAUGCACGUCUUGACGGUACCUAAUCAGAAAGCCACGGCUAACUACGUG